rnacentral:rRNA from 1 species
CGCGGCCUAUCAGCUUGUUGGUGGGGUGAAGGCCUACCAAGGCGAUUACGGGUAGCCGGCCUGAGAGGGCGACCGGCCACACUGGGACUGAGACACGGCCCAGACUCCUACGGGAGGCAGCAGUGGGGAAUAUUGCGCAAUGGGCGGAAGCCUGACGCAGCGACGCCGCGUGGGGGAUGACGGCCUUCGGGUUGUAAACCUCUUUUACCACCGACGCAGGCCCGUGCUUCUGUGCGGGUUGACGGUAGGUGGGGAAUAAGGACCGGCCAACUACGUGCCAGCAGCCGCGGUAAUACGUAGGGUCCGAGCGUUGUCCGGAAUUAUUGGGCGUAAAGAGCUCGUAGACGGCGUGUCGCGUCUGCUGUGUAAGUCCGGGGCUUAACUCCGGUUUGGCAGUGGAUACGGGCAUGCUAGAGGUAGGCAGGGGAGACUGGAAUUCCUGGUGUAGCGGUGAAAUGCGCAGAUAUCAGGAGGAACACCGGUGGCGAAGGCGGGUCUCUGGGCCUUACCUGACGCUGAGGAGCGAAAGCGUGGGGAGCGAACAGGAUUAGAUACCCUGGUAGUCCACGCUGUAAACGUUGGGCGCUAGGUGUGGGGACUUUCCACGGUUUCCGUGCCGUAGCUAACGCAUUGAGCGCCCCGCCUGGGGAGUACGG